AGCGGCGGACGGGUGAGUAAUGCCUAGGAAUCUGCCUGGUAGUGGGGGAUAACGUCCGGAAACGGACGCUAAUACCGCAUACGUCCUACGGGAGAAAGCAGGGGACCUUCGGGCCUUGCGCUAUCAGAUGAGCCUAGGUCGGAUUAGCUAGUUGGUGGGGUAAUGGCUCACCAAGGCGACGAUCCGUAACUGGUCUGAGAUGGAUUAUCAGUCACACUGGAACUGAGACACGGUCCAGACUCCUACGGGAGGCGGCAGUGGGGAAUAUUGGACAAUGGGCGAAAGCCUGAUCCAGCCAUGCCGCGUGUGUGAAGAAGGUCUUCGGAUUGUAAAGCACUUUAAGUUGGGAGGAAGGGCAGUAAAUUAAUACUUUGCUGUUUUGACGUUACCGACAGGAAUAAGCACCGGCUAACUCUGUGCCAGCAGGCCGCGGUAAUACAGAGGGUGCAAGCGUUAAUUCGGAAUUACUGGGCGUAAAGCGCGCGUAGGUGGUUUCGUUAAAGUUGGAUGUGAAAU
rnacentral:rRNA from 1 species